GAAAAGUGCCGCGCGCCGCUCCCCCCGGCGCAGAGGCUGCGGGCAGCGGCAGGCAGCGGCAGGCAGCGGCGGGCAGCAGCCAUGUGCCCCGAAGCCCCUGGAGAAGAAGAGGUUGUCUUUUUCCUGUUAAUGCUGUAGACUUCAGGGGUUGGUUGUUAUCUUUGGUUAUCUAGCUGUAUGAGUGGUGUCAAUUCUUCAUAAAGCUAGAUAACCGAAAGUAAAAAUAACCCCAUUACACGCCUGAGGAGGAUGUGGAGAAGAAAGGAAAUUCAUCAAAAGGAAGAGGAGGAAAAGAAAAAAUGAAAUGGAAAAAAAAGGAAGAGAAAAGAAAUGAGAGGCGGAAAAAAAAAAACUGGGGAAAAAAGACAACUUUUUGAGACUGGAAUUAAAACCCGAGCAGCCUGAAGUCCGUCCUGCUGCAGCUCCAGGGAUGCCUUUGACACCAGGGAGGAGUGUGGGUUCACCCUACGUGAUGCUCUGCUCAUUUUCUGACUGGCGAAUUGCAGUUCUUUGGCCCCAGUGAAAGUUCACAGGGAAUUUCCUGAUGGGCUCACUAUAACAUGAACCCAGGAGUGGGGGCUAUAUGCAAAAAAACCCACCCUCCAAAAGCCAUGAGACCCUGGCCAUGCAGAAGCUGCCAGCAGGACCUGUCUUGCGGGACCCUCAGCAGAAGCCCCUCACCACGGCUGAUCCUGUGUGCACCCUCCUCCUCCUCUUCCUCCUCCUGCCAGCAAACCCUGGCCUGGACGUAGAUUGUUAUUUGCACCAGCAUCCACCCAGGCUGCUUGGGGCUGCUGGCCAGCACAGGGCUUCGGCGUGGGGACACCAGCACCAGUUCAGGGACAGAUGGGGCGGAGAAGACACCUAGACGUCCCUGUCCUGCUGUUGCGCAUCACCCCAUGGGCAGCUCACUGGUGAGACCAGGGUGGGAUGUGGGUACCGCUCCGGCGGGUGUGGGGAUGCCUCAUCUGUUGAGGGAUGGGAACUGCAGGUAGACCCUGGGCCGGUGGGCAGCUGGCCUGAGGUGGAGGUGAUAGGCAGGGGGAGAGGGGCUGGGAAGGGACAGUGCAUUUAUUAAUGAGGCACAGCUGAAGCAGGUCUUUUGCCAGUGGUCAACUCUGAAUCACAAACUCCGCAUUGUUUCCGAGUGGAUUCAGCACAUUUCCCUUCUCCCCCUCCCUUCCCCUUUCCUCUCCUCUCACCCUCGCACAAAGAUGUCAUUGUGCCGGGGACUUGGUGAUGGCAGCGUUGUUAUUUGGUCCAAAAAAAAAAAAAACAACCCCAAGAAAAGAAAGAAGUGGAGAGGGGGGGACCCAACAAGGUGAAGAGGUUUAAAUCAGCUUAGCCCAAAUGCCAAUUAAAAACCAAAGAGGAUUAAGCUUGUGAUCAGCAGAAUAGACAGUCAUUGUACCCGGACGAGGGGGUUUCCCUCCCCAGGCCCAACGCAAUCAUGCCACAGGUCUCGCUGCCGAUCAUCACUGCUCUCCUCUCACGGCAGGACAGAGCGGUGCAGGGACUGCCCUUGACCCCCGGGUGCCGGGCUGCCUGCACCUGUCAGAUCUCUUGCCCGUGGCAUGGGGCAGUGAAAGCCCCACGGGUUUCCAGUGCAAAGACCUUUUUCUUGCAUUUUUUAAGUGUAUGCAAGGACUCUUGCCUUGGCUUGAGUUCAGCUGAGCAAGGAGAGAUCUUGAUCUCUCUGCCAAGGGGAAGGUCUUCCCUGAAAUAGGCUCUUGGUCUGAGUGUAUCCCUCAGCCGUGAGCUGGUGGAGGGCCCCUGGGGUGAUGUCCUGUCCAUGUGUCUGGGCAGACACUGUCCCCACCUUGCUAGACCUCCAUGUGCAGCCCUGCUCCAGCAUGCCCAGGCGCUCGUGCUGGCUGAGAGCUCUCACGAACCGCCGGACCGGGCUGUGGGGGCUGUCAGUCAGACCUCUGCUCCCGAAGCAGCCAGCACGUCGCCUUUGAUCCCAGGGCAGUGGCGGAGAAAUGCCAGGAGCAUCACACGGGCUGUCCUCCAGCCAGUGGAGAUCCAGAGAAGACUUUCUACUUCUCUGCACUGUGGCCUAGAGAUGACAUCUUGGUGCUUUCUGUCUGGUUUAGUCCUCCUAUGCCAUCCACCAGCUCACUGCUUGCAUGGUUUGAAGUCUAAUGUAGCCAGAAACCAUGGUCCUUGUAGAAUCCUCACCUGCGGGAGAGGAACCUGGGAUGGGUGAGGUGGGUGUGGGUGCUUGCUUGGACGUCUGCCCAUGUUCAGACUCCCACAGCUCACCCAGCUCUAAGCAUCUCUCCCAGUACACCGGUAAACUGGUAAAACCCCAGGAACAGGAAGAUGCUCUGUACCAACGUGGCUGCUGUUAACAGGGGUCGGAGUCUGCAGCCAUGGUGGUUUCAUUCCUGAUGCUGCCAACAGAGCUGUGAAGGCAAAUCCCCCUGCAGCCAAAAUGGCUACAUGGGUGUAAAAAGUGUGUAGCCAGACCAGGGGUGUCUUUAUACCACACUGGCAACUUAAAAAGGGUCUUUGCUUAGGUAGAAAGUGUAAUUAUAUGCUAACUUUAAGGCUUUUCUGGAAAGGAAAGGUGCCAAGUGUAGGUGGGAGCCAGGCCAAGCUGGGAGACAUUUAAGGCACAUCAGUGACAAAUUCUGGUGGAGCUUCAGCAUCUCCAUGUCUGGGUCUGGGUGGGUUCAGUCUGAGACCCCCUUGUCUUUUAGCCUGAUGCUGUCUGGCAGUUGUGGGUGCAAAAGGACCCCCUGCAUGUCUGUCCUGCUUCUUCUCGGGGUCUCUGUGGGGUGAAUCCUCUCUGCUAAGGGGGACCAUCACGUGGCUGAGGUGGCCCUCGUGCUCAGUGGAUCCUGCUGUACUGCUUUGCACAGAACCCAGGGAUGGCAGCGAUGGAGCCUGCUCCAGCCCCAGCCAUCGCUGGGCAAAAGCUCGUGGGAGAAGCUGAAUGAGACGUUGCUGCUGUCAGCUUUAGAUGCAAAAUGCUCUUGGCCUUGAGCCACAGAGAGGAAAAAGGAGCAAAAGGGCCUUUUCUCUGAAGAGCAGAAGGAGAAACAUCCCAUCUCUGGACCAGGAGCCAUUUCUCCUCGAUCCUGGGCAUGGUUAGCAUCAGCUGAGGGACCACAGUCAUGGUGUGAUGGACAACUCCGGUGCCAAGGUGGUGGAUGCUCAGGCAGCACCACAUGGCAGAAAGCAGUGGAGCAAAGGAGAUGUGCUUUGAGGGAUGGGGAAAGAGUGAAGUCUCAAGAUGUCAUGGGCCAGGAGGUGCAAUGCCACCACCUCUCCCUUGUGCCGCCACCAUCCCUGUGCCCAGGGAUGCCCACUGGCACCCAGCAAGCACGCAGGCUGUGGGAGCGGGGGAGAGGGCAGGAUCCGUCCCCCUUUUGUCGCCGCCGUGUAAUUUAUGAUAUGAGAGAGGGCCAUUGUCUGGACCCAUCCUGUAUUUUUCCGAGGGCUUUGCCUCUCUUCCCAGACCCCCGCUGUGCUCCUGCUACUGUACCGUUGCUAUGGGACGUGCUCCCUGCGCUGCGGCUAUGCGGGGCAGUGCCGGGGAGGGCUGCCCACCGUGGCUGGACCCAUCUGGAGCCCCGAGCCCCACUGCCGGCAACCCAGCCACUCGGCGGCCCCGUUGACGUGCCGAGGGCCUGGGAAUGGGGCUUUCGGCCCCUCCAAGUUCACGGCCACCGGAGGCAUUCAGCUGCCGGAGGGGGGGGGGGGGGGGCAGCGGGAUCUGGGGCGUUUGGCUCCAUUCUCCCUUCCCUUUCAGCGCCAGCAGUGUCCUCGGCGCAUACAGAUCCCCCGUCCCUUUCUCCUCCUGACAAGUGCGCACAUAAAUAAAUUACCCCACCGGGCGAGUGUGGAACAAUCUGUCCCCUAAAUUCUAUUCAUCACCAGACAGGACCCAUUAUUCCCCCGAUUAAAGCCGCUGGAGUAGCUUGCAAGGGUUACAGUUACUCUGUCAAACUGUAAAUAAGACACUAAAAAUAAAGGGCACUGGCGAGAGAAGGGGAAAAGGGAAGCCAGACUAAUGCCUGCUGCUAGGGAAACCGAAUGAAUCCCUAAUGAUGCCUGUGUACAAACUGCAAAUAAUGAAGGAAAAGUGACAAACAGACCUCGGCCAGGCUGUGGCGAGGUCCUCGCUCGAUGGCGGUGGUGGGGACCUGCUUGCCCCUUCCUCUGGGGAGAGCCAACAGGGAGCAGGACCCCUUUCCCAGGCCCCUCCGAGCAGAGCGUUUAAGCCCUUGUGCUUAACUUACAGAAGGGUUUAGGUCUUGCAGAUGUGUUUAUUUUUCAGGCACAGAAAUCGCCUCUGCUUGAGCCUGCAUCCCUUUUUGAGGUUGCACAGGGAAAAUGUCCAUCGCCUGUGGCCUCAGGGCAGCGGGCAAAGAAGCAGCGCCCAAAACUUUGGUUUGUAUUCUGCUGUUAGGAGCACUGCAUGGAGCUCUGAUGUAGGACAGGGCUAGAACCAGGGUGGGGGUUUAAGUCUGUCUGUCUGCCCAGAGCCUGUCCCCCGGGCAGCAAGGAUGCAGCCCGGGCUCCUUCCCACCCGCAGCAGGACAUUGCUCUUGUGGCUGAGACAGAGACCUGGAGCUCAGACCUGGGUCUUCUCCUUCCUCUGCUGCCUGUGAUAGAUUGCAGGGAAUAAUGUCUCCAGCACUAGAAAACCUCCUUGGAUAAAAUCCAAUUCCUUUCUUGCUGCUCUCUUACCAGCCAGCAAAGAUGGGGAUGUUCACCUUGCAGCAGAUCCUUCUUUUCUUCCUUUGAUACUUUAUACCUGAAGAGCUAAGGCAAAAAAUUAUCAGUGAUACGCUCAUCUUGGGUUUUUCUUAGUUCCGGAGGGACUGAGAUGUGAGAGUUUUAUUUCAGGUCCAGCUCAAACUAUUCCCAUCACCUGCAAGGGGCUAAAUGCUGGAAUGCUUGUGUUGCUCAGGGAAAUAUUAUUUUGAUUCAUGUUAUGCAAGCAUGUAAAAAAUAGAGCAAAGAGAGCUCUGAGCUGUGCCUCUCCAGGUGGAUGCUCGCUCUCAAAAGGAGAACCCCAAGCAGAGAAAGUCUUGGUGAAGCCACACAGUAUUUGGGCCACAGAGCAGAUGUGUCACUGGGCUGGAAACUGAGCUUUCAUCCCCCAGGUCUGCGCAGAUCCAACCUCCUGCACAGCCCAGCAGUGCUGGGGUGUCUCUGGGACCUUAUCUGCAAAAAGCACCAAGGAAGAGCAUGAGCCGAGAGCAGGGGGAGCGGUGAGAUGCCAAGCAUGGCACUCACCCGUUCUCCCACCGACAGCAACAUUGCAAGGGUCCUUGUGCAGCUAGAGGGGUUUUUAGAGAUAUGCUCUGGCUUGGGGUUUUCGCAAAGCUCAGACAUCUUGAAAGGGAUUUUUCAGGCUGGCUGAACUUGUGUGGAGCCCAGUUGCAUUUCCCAGUCAGGUCAAACCUGGGCUUAGCAGAUUUCUUCCCUUUCCGUCUUAGGAAAAAAAAAAAAACUCAAACAUUUUCACCCCCAAUUUCUGGCUGUGAAGCCUCAUGACUCCACAGCAGCAUUCCUGGGGCGUUCCCAAUGUGGGGAGGUAUGUGCAGAAUUUCAAACAGUGGCACAUAGCUCCACAUCUCCUGUGCACUCCCCCAGCUGGACUCAGUUAUUUGGGAGAAACUCCAGGAUGGAGCAGCAAGAUUUAUUAUUGCUACUAGUAAUAGUGAUGUCUGUGUAGCACCCAUAGACCCAGGUAGGUGUGUGUAGGUGGUGAUGAAGGAAGAGGUAUCUCUCCUGUCUCUCCCCACCAAAAUUUACCAGCUUAGUUGGAAAAAGAGAGCGAUUUGGAAAAAGUCUCCUGACCAGUCAAUGCUGAGCAAGUCAAACCCAAACCUGGGUUGUCCUGGUGCUCCCCAGCCAUGGAAAUGGGCAGCUCUUCAUGAAACCUGCUCUCUGGAAGUUGCCUUUAGAAGAAUGAUGGGCUUAGAGAGCCUAAUCUCAUCCUGGAAGAGGGUUUUGGUCCCAUGAGCUUCACUCCUUUGGCAGGGAUGGCUUUGCCUGAGGACUCAGGUCCUGGGAGCAGCUUUGGUGUCAGGGAUGCACGGAUGCACUCAAGAGUAUUCAGCUACUCUUGAGAUUGCAUCGAGAAUGGCAAGACUUAAUAAAAAUGAACUUACUUGCCUUUUCCUGUGUGAAUCUCUUGGGUCACAUUUUUCAAGGUUUCUCUCAACCUGUAAAAAUAUGAUUAUUGAUAUUUUUUUCUGACGAAAGCUACGAUUCCCCUCCAUGUUAAUCACUUGGCUCCAGAAACACGAGCUUUAGCAUGGUGUUUAAUGAGACUGGCACUUGUUGGCUCUUGAGCAAAGCAGGUUUGCCCUACAGCCACCUAGAGACAUGAGGAAAAUCAGACAGUCCUCGAUAUUAAAUAUCUUUAUACCAGUUUUGAGAAGAUCCCGUGCCUACUUGUCACUCUUUCUUUUCCUCAAAAUACCUCAAAAAAUUUUUUUUUCUAUCUGUGGAUGUAAUCUAGAUGUGUCCAUAAACCAAAAGUUGGCAGCUCGCUCUUCUCUUACUGGGGCCUUCAAAGAUUCCCCAGCAAGAUCCGAAGGGCUGCUUAAGCGCUUGUGGAGGCCAUGUUUCAGUAACACCACUGCCCGUCCCCUUCCCUUUCUGAGGAUUAGGAUGAGGCAAAUACCUUCACUUUGGUUUAAUUCUAAAUACGUGAUUUUGAAGGUGUUUGCUGGCACGGUGUGCACACAAUGAGCACAUGUUUGCAAUAAUAGCCAGGUAGCUUGCAUGGCUAAAUCACUCUGGAUUUUUUUCUUUCAUUAUAACCUCCUUUUAAAGCACGUUUAAAUGCUUCCCCACAGGCUCAUGCGAGGGCUGUUAAGGGCUUCAUUUGAAUAAAUAAGUGCACAGGUACAGGAGGAACAUCACCAUAACCCCCUGGAAACCCCAGUACCAGCAAUGGCAUCAGAGGACUGGCGAGUGGGAGAAGGGGCUUGAUGUUACAUAUUCCAUAAAGUAGAGUAAUUAAGUAUUACUAGUUUUGAUGACUUCAAACAGAGUGACUCCAGGAAAUAAGCCCCUUCUUUAUAAUUAGUGGGAUUUCCUCUGCAUCAAACGGAGAGAUUGAUUCUUUAAUCUGCUCACAUGCUUUUGAUUUGGUGUUUCAGCUGCUUGUACCAACUGCUUCUACUCCCUGCUCUUGCCGAUAAAACCUUGCAAAGGAGAUUUUAGGAAGGCAUGACCUGAGUUGAGGUCUAGGAUUUUCUUUGUGUGUGGCUGUUUUGUGUAUUUUUAAUUUGCCAUACAUGAUGAUCAUGAUGAUAGCAAUAAUAAAAAAUAACAGAGACACAGAUUUUUAACAUCCAUGUAUGUUUAGGUCAAAUAAUUAGGGUUUGGGGGUUUUUUUUAGUUAUUGUUUUCUCUUCCCAGCACACUUAUUGGCCCUGGUGCAUGCUCUUUAAGUCCUGCAAAGAUCAUUUUGGCUACCUGUCUGCAAGAGCCCUGAGCUGUCCCAAGUGGGGCUUUCUGCAAAAUGUUGCUCUUGUAGGAGAGCACAGACCUAAUGCUGGGGUCUGGCCAGGCUUUCGGCAUUUCGAGGGCUGAGUUAAAAUAAGGACUUGAUUUCUUAAGGACUUGGGAUGUGCAGACGAAAGAGGCCCCUUUUCUGGAGUAUUUCAAGUGUUUGGUCCUGAUUUAGGACUAAACCCAGGACCUUUGGAAGCUCUGUCUGAAAUCCCCCCAAACGUUGCUGCUUUCCAAAUGAAGAGUUCAGGAGGGAGCAGGAACUUCCCCCCCUGCGAGUGCAAGAAGCCGAUUGUGAGCAACCGUCUCCUUCCUGGGCAUGUCUGUGGGGUCAGUGGCACCAUAUUGGUCAUAGGGGAAAUGCAGUCUGGGAACUGUGCUGGUUCCAGGCAUGGACUGAACCUACCCUGUGCUACCCCUGCCUCCAAAAUAGCUCAGAUCUUGAAUCAUUCCAGCAAUACCCUGGCUGGAUUUCUUUCUGGCACAUGAGGUUCUUCUGGGACCGCUGAGGAGUUAAAAAAAGGGGGAAAUUUGGGACUAUGUUGUUUUCCAUCCACUUUUUAGUCCUGUUGGAAUUGUGCAGCGUGGGCAAGAGAAAUGGUCAUGGUCUGCACCUUGACUGCAUGCCAUCAGGUGAAAAUCGGAGGAUGCCGGCUCUGCAGGGAGUUGUUUGGGUAGCCGUAGAGCAGGGACUGGCAUCCCAACCACAACACCCUCCUUUUUGGGACUGGCAUCGCUCUCGGUGCAUCUCAGACACUAAUAGGGUGAGGAGGGCAAGCACGGGGCUGUCCCCACCACGGUUUGGUGGUCACAAGCCUGCAGGGAGGAGCUGUGGGAAGGGGGUCAUGCUUGAGCUCACCUGGAGCCAGGAUCAGGCCCGGGGGUGCAGGGGAUAACUGCAGAGGAGCUGGUUUAGUAUGCCCCUUGCAAGCCUCCCCUCGUCUGGAGCAGUGUCAAACACAGAUCAUAUAAUUAGGGACCCAGUGAAUACGUAACUGUACAAUUAUGCAAAUAGUGAUCAAAAUCACUGUUUUCAGCAGAAAUGCCUGAAGAUCAAGACAGAAGCUUCAUGCAACCUUAAUUUAAUCUGGUCCUGCAGGAGUGGGGAGGUCUGAUGGAUGACCCAACCUCGUGCCUGCCUGUGUUUAGCAAAGCUGGGGUAGGAGUCAGGGGAGAGGAGUGCCAGAGCAUGCUAAGCAAGGGCUCAGCGCGGCCAGCGAGAGGGAAAAAUGGCACUGGGAUCAUGUUAGCAUGUUGGCAAACCAGGAAAAAAAAUAGCAGAAAUGGAGGGGCUGAUGUUUACAGUGAUUUUCUUUUUCUUUUGAUUUCAGGUGAAUAACACAAGGCUGGAA